rnacentral:tRNA from 1 species
GGCCCCAUCGUCUAGUGGCAGGACAUAUCCCUCUCAUGGAUAAAACAGGAGUUCGAUCCUCCUUGGGGCUA